AAAAAAUAAAAAAUAAAUAAAAAUUAAAUUUUAAAAUGCCAUAAAGUUUUAAUUAUUCUUCACAAAAUAUAAAAUUAUUUGAAUAUAAAAUAGAUAAUUGCUUAAAUAUAAAAUUUAGAUACAUGCAUCAUUUUGUUAAUAAAACAAAGUUUCAAAGACUAAUUAAUUUGUUAAUGGAACUUUAAUUUGAGGACCAUAUCAUUACUAAAAAAAAAAAAAAAUCAGGGAUUAAACUGUGGUUUUUGAUAUAUCAAGGACUUAUUUAUAAAUUACCCAUAAAAUUAAUAAAAUAAUAUUUUAAAAUAUUUAAUUAUUUAAAAUAUAUAUAAUAAAAUUUAAAAAUAUAAAAUCUAAAACACACCCUAAAAUAAAAAUCGAAGACAUAAGAUCAUUUUCUCUUCAAAAUCUUUACUUUUAUUCAUGCUCUUAAUCAGUGUUGUAAUUGCUGGACCGGAAAAAAGAGAAGGAUGUUUUUCUUUUAAUAAUAUUCUCCCAACAACUUAGAUGAGAGAGAUUUCCAUCGAUGUUCAUAUAUAAGAAAAGUCUUAUUGUGUUAUUACAUUGUUGGAAAUAUGGAUUAGGUCGCCAAUGUGGGUCAACCCGGAUCUACUAGAUUUAAAAUUCAAAACUUAUGUAGAUUGAUUAAAAUAUAUAACUACAUGAAGAGAUGCAACUCUUCUU
rnacentral:misc_RNA from 1 species